rnacentral:rRNA from 1 species
AGCAGCCGCGGUAAUUCCAGCUCCAAUAGCGUAUAUUAAAGUUGUUGCAGUUAAAAAGCUCGUAGUUGAAUUUCGGGGUCAGUAGGUCGGUCGUGCCACUGGUAUGAACUGGUUUUACUGAUUCCUCCCUCUUGAAGAACUGUAAUGCCAUUAAUUUGGUGUUGCAGGGAAUCAGGACUGUUACUUUGAAAAAAUUAGAGUGUUUAAAGCAGGCUUUAGCUUGAAUACAUUAGCAUGGAAUAAUGAAAUAGGACGUUUGAUCCUAUUUUGUUGGUUUCUAGGAUUGACGUAAUGAUUAAUAGGGAUAGUUGGGGGCAUUAGUAUUCAAUUGUCAGAGGUGAAAUUCUUGGAUUUAUUGAAGACUAACUACUGCGAAAGCAUUUGUCCAAGGAUGUUUUCAUUAAUCAAGAACGAAAGUUAGGGGAUCGAAGACGAUCAGAUACCGUCGUAGUCUUAACCAUAAACUAUGCCGACUAGGGAUCGGAUGAUGUUAAUUUUUAAUGACUCAUUCGGCGUCCCG